UACGUAGGGUGCGAGCGUUAAUCGGAAUUACUGGGCGUAAAGGGCUCGUAGGCGGCCAACUAAGUCAGACGUGAAAUCCCUCGGCUUAACCGGGGAACUGCGUCUGAUACUGGAUGGCUUGAGUUCGGGAGAGGGAUGUGGAAUUCCAGGUGUAGCGGUGAAAUGCGUAGAUAUCUGGAGGAACACCGGUGGCGAAGGCGGCAUCCUGGACCGACACUGACGCUGAUGAGCGAAAGCCAGGGGAGCAAACGGG
rnacentral:rRNA from 1 species